rnacentral:lncRNA from 1 species
UAAGUUGUCACGGUAAUUAAUUGGUUAUCCAUUUCACAAAAAAAAUAAAAAAAUUGAACAUUAAAGAAUAAAAAUAUAUAAUAAAUAACAUAAAUAAUGAAAGAUAAAAUUAUGUAGAAAAUUUCUCAUAUGCAUAGAAUGAAUAUACUUGCGUCCAUAUAAAACAAAUAACAAAAUAUUUAUUUAGAUUGUAUAUAAUAAAUAGUAUCUGAUCACAAAUAACAUGACUCAAACUCAAU